rnacentral:rRNA from 1 species
GUUUGAUCCUGGCUCAGGACGAACGCUGGCGGCGUGCUUAACACAUGCAAGUCACGGGGGCCCGCAAGGGCAACCGGCGAACGGGUGCGUAACACGUGAACAACCUGCCCUCGUGUGGGGGAUAGCCAUGCUAACGCGUGGGUAAUACCGCAUACGUUCCCUUGGAGGAGUCUCUGGGGGAGGAAAGCUCCGGCGCACGGGGAGGGGUUCGCGGCCUAUCAGCUAGUUGGCGGGGUAAUGGCCCACCAAGGCGACGACGGGUAGCUGGUCUGAGAGGAUGGCCAGCCACAUUGGGACUGAGAGACGGCCCAGACUCCUACGGGAGGCAGCAGUGGGGAAUCUUGCGCAAUGGCCGAAAGGCUGACGCAGCGACGCCGCGUGUGGGAUGAAGCAUUUCGGUGUGUAAACCACUGUUGCCCGGGACGAACAGCCUGUUUCGACAGGUCUGACGGUACCGGGUGAGGAAGCACCGGCUAACUCCGUGCCAGCAGCCGCGGUAAUACGGAGGGUGCGAGCGUUGUCCGGAAUCAUUGGGCGUAAAGGGCGCGUAGGUGGCCUGCUAAGCGUGCGGUGAAAGCUCGGGGCUCAACCCCGAGUCGGCCGUGCGAACUGGUGGGCUUGAGCACUGUAGAGGCAGGCGGAAUUCCGGGUGUAGCGGUGGAAUGCGUAGAGAUCCGGAAGAACACCGGUGGCGAAGGCGGCCUGCUGGGCAGUUGCUGACACUGAGGCGCGACAGCGUGGGGAGCAAACAGGAUUAGAUACCCUGGUAGUCCACGCCGUAAACGAUGGGCACUAGGCGCUUGGGGGAGCGACCCCCCGAGGGCCGGCGCUAACGCAUUACGUGCCCCGCCUGGGGAGUACGGCCGCAAGGC